GAGCGAACAGACGAGGAGCUUGCUCCUCUGACGUUAGCGGCGGACGGGUGAGUAACACGUGGAUAACCUACCUAUAAGACUGGGAUAACUUCGGGAAACCGGAGCUAAUACCGGAUAAUAUAUUGAACCGCAUGGUUCAAUAGUGAAAGACGGUUUUGCUGUCACUUAUAGAUGGAUCCGCGCCGCAUUAGCUAGUUGGUAAGGUAACGGCUUACCAAGGCGACGAUGCGUAGCCGACCUGAGAGGGUGAUCGGCCACACUGGAACUGAGACACGGUCCAGACCCCUACGGGAGGCAGCAGUAGGGAAUCUUCCGCAAUGGGCGAAAGCCUGACGGAGCAACGCCGCGUGAGUGAUGAAGGUCUUCGGAUCGUAAAACUCUGUUAUUAGGGAAGAACAAAUGUGUAAGUAACUAUGCACGUCUUGACGGUACCUAAUCAGAAAGCCACGGCUAACUACGUGCCAGCAGCCGCGGUAAUACGUAGGUGGCAAGCGUUAUCCGGAAUUAUUGGGCGUAAAGCGCGCGUAGGCGGUUUUUUAAGUCUGAUGUGAAAGCCCACGGCUCAACCGUGGAGGGUCAUUGGAAACUGGAAAACUUGAGUGCAGAAGAGGAAAGUGGAAUUCCAUGUGUAGCGGUGAAAUGCGCAGAGAUAUGGAGGACACCAGUGGCGAAGGCGACUUUCUGGUCUGUAACUGACGCUGAUGUGCGAAAGCGUGGGGAUCAAA
rnacentral:rRNA from 1 species